UACGUAGGGUGCUAGCGUUGUUCGGAAUCAUUGGGCGUAAAGCGCGUGUAGGUGGCUAUGCAAGUCGAGUGUGAAAUCCCUGGGCUCAACCGAGGAAGUGCAUCCGAAACUGCUUAGCUAGAGGACGGUAGAGGAAGGUGGAAUUCCUAGUGUAGAGGUGAAAUUCGUAGAUAUUAGGAGGAAUACCGGUGGCGAAGGCGGCCUUCUGGGCCGUUCCUGACACUGAGACGCGAAAGCGUGGGGAGCAAACGGG
rnacentral:rRNA from 1 species